CAAAGGUAGCAUAAUCAUUAGUUUUUUAAUUGGAAACUGGUAUGAAGGGUUGGACAAAGGAAAAACUGUCUUUAAUAUAUAAGUUGAAAUUUACUUUUAAGUGAAAAGGCUUAAAUGGUUUAAAGGGACGAUAAGACCCUAUAAAGCUUUAUAUAUUAUUUAAAUUUAGUUUAUUUAUUAAUUAAAGAUUAAGUCUAGAUUAUAUAUUUUGUUGGGGCGAUGUGAGUAUAAUUUAUAUUAACUGCUUAAUAUAUAAUACAACUAUAAGUGAUUAUAUCAAUAUAUGAUCCUAAUUAAAGAUUAAAAGAUUAAGUUACUUUAGGGAUAACAGCGUUAUUUCUUUUGAGAGUUCAUAUCGAAAAAGAAGUUUGCGACCUCGAUGUUGAAUUAAAAUGUCUAUAUAAUGCAGCCGUUAUAUAAGAAGGUCUGUUCGACCUUUAAAUUUUUACAUGAUUUGAGUUCA
rnacentral:rRNA from 1 species